rnacentral:rRNA from 1 species
CACGUAGGGCGCGAGCGUUGUCCGGAAUUAUUGGGCGUAAAGAGCUCGUAGGCGGCCUGUUGCGUCCGCUGUGAAAGCCCGGGGCUUAACCCCCGGGGUCGGCAGUGGAUACGGGCAGGCUAGAGGUAGGUAGGGGAGAAUGGAAUUCCCGGUGUAGCGGUGAAAUGCGCAGAUAUCGGGAGGAACACCGGUGGCGAAGGCGGAUCUCUGGGCCUUACCUGACGCUGAGGCGCGAAAGCUAGGGGGAGCGAACGAGG